CUUCUCCACUUUCCUAAUCUCACUGCCGCAUAUCUCUCUCUACCCUUCUCUCUAAAUACCCGACCGACGACGGCGACGGCGACGACGCGCAAAGGCGACGGCGACAGUUAUCCAAUUCGUUGUCUCUCACUCACUGCUUCUUCAAUUUAUACCAUUCUCUCUCAUCGCUGCUUCAAUUUUGUUCUCUCCUAUUUCAAGUGCUUAACAUCACUUUGAAUAAACUACAAAAAUCACAAUAACAAAUAAUGUGAUCGGUCAGAUUCAUAGCCCAACAGUUGCGCGUCUUUUGAGAUUGGUGGCGUGUUUGACAGGAGUAGUGACACAUUUGACCAGAUAAGCAGCGUUUGACCUGACUAGAGAUGUGUUUGACCGGAGAUCGGCGACGCGUCUGACCAGAGACCAAAUCUUUUACAGGAAUAUGAAAAUAGGGGAUAGAAGCCCUCUUUUCUUGAGGUCUACGAAGAGACGCAUAGGAAGAAAAUGAAGGACAGUACAAGAGGAGAUUGGGUCAAAACGCGUGCUAAGGAUACAUAUGAAGAAUUUCAAAAAAGCAUAGAAGAUUGGCAUCAAAUCCAACCUACUUCAGAGUAUGGUACCUUGGUCAACCAUCACCUGCAGAUAUGACUAAUGUGUGGACAGCUGUGGUAGGUAGUCUAAAAAAAGGUAGAACCUAUGGGACAGGGAUUCUCCAAUCCUCGAGUAUUCCUUUGUUUUUUUCCAUUUCCUCUUCUACUUUGCAAACUAUGGAAGAAAUGAAAGCGAUGAAAAAGCAAAUUGUGGAAUUGAUGCAACAAUGUGCAGCUAACACUGCUAAGUUUGUUAAAUUUGAGGAGUUGGUUAAGAAACACAUGGCUCAAGUAUUUCAUGAUGAGGAAGAGAGUGAAUCUGAUGAUAAUUAGAUUGUAGUUAUUGUUCUUGUUUUUGGUUGUGACAUUUAGAUGUUUAAACUAUUUGAUUUGAUAUUUGUUUUGGAUGUUUUAAAGUGGUUAUAUUUAUAAAUUUUUGUCGUGUUUGAUCCUAUUGUGAAAAAUAUAUUAGUUAUGUUGUUUAUAA